UCUCUGUUCAUUUUGCUUCACUGGUGCGGCACCACCGGAAGCCCUAUUCUCCGUCCAUUUCGCACCAGAAAAUAGAGGUGAAAGUCAACAUUCACUGCUAUAAGUGCAAAAGCAAUAUAUUGAAGUCGUCACUAAACUUCAAGUUGCAACCCAAGUGAGGAAGACCAGAAAGGUAGCAGAUCUCAUUGGUGUUGGUCCACCAAAGGCUAAAGAGAAAAGGCCCGACCCCCCUAAGUCUAAACCCGCUAAAUGUAUACUUGACCAUUGUAAUGAAUGCUAGCUUGUAGCUGUCAGCUACACUGUUCCCUAUGACAACAUUCCAUUUUGCUCUAUCUUGUGAGAGAUUCUAGCAUCUAAUGUGUCAAAUUUUAUUGAUAUACAUUGAUUCAAUUAUGCAUAAUAUUGUCUGCAUUGUUGCAGUCCCCUCACCAACAUUCUCUGUUUUCUUUCUUUGUUGCCAUAUAGUUCUCUAGAGAUUAUCUGAAUUCUUUGUAUGUAGGUCAUGAAUAGAGAGGAUUAAAUACCAAAUGGGAUUAGCACAUAUUGUUGGUACUAAUGCUCUGGACCAGUUUAAAUGUAUUGGUUUAUACAUUGUUCCAACAUUACAAUGUCUCUGCAGCUCAUUUGGUUCUUUUUGAUCUUUUGUCAGGUGUUUGGCUCCACGGUCUUGGAUUCCAAGGUCUCAAGUGAACAUGAUGAGAUCCAAAGUCAUUUGGCAAUUGUUCUUCGUAAAUAGUUGAGUUCAUGCAUUUAAUGCUCGGGGUUGGUGGUGCUGGUGACAUUACAGAGAAUUGCACUGGUUUUCUUCAUCUCUCAUUGUGGAUCCACACAAGCACCAUGUAUACAUAUAGGGCCUACUGCACACGUUUCAUUAUUUUCUAGGUUGGUAAGUCGUACAUGUACACAUGUCAUUUUUUUCUGUAAGAAAAUGGUUGUGGAAUACUAUUCUUCAAUUUUCAUGCUAAUUUCCUCUUUAGGUCCAUUAUUGUGUUUUGAUG